UAAGUUAAUAUCUUUAUCGCAUUUCUUUUUUUUUAUAAAGAUAUGAGGAAAGUCUGGACACUAAAGAGUAAUACAGCGGAUAACAUCCGUCCAUCGUAAGAUGAGGAAUAGUACAACAGAAAGUAUGUAUAAUAUAAUAAAUAAUUAUAGUUUAUAGUGAAAUCUUGUAAACUCUGUAUAGUGAAAUGUCAUAAAUUACCAUUAUUUAUUUACUCGAUAGAAAAUGGUUGGUAGACAGAUAAAGAUAUAUAUGGUAACAUAUAUACUAGAUAAAUGAUAAAGUAUAUAAUAUAUAACAGAAUCCGGCUUAUAUAUUAGCUUAUAUU
rnacentral:RNase_P_RNA from 1 species